rnacentral:rRNA from 1 species
GACGAACGCUGGCGGCGUGCUUAACACAUGCAAGUCGAACGGAAAGGCCCUGCUUUUGUGGGGUGCUCGAGUGGCGAACGGGUGAGUAACACGUGAGUAACCUGCCCUUGACUUUGGGAUAACUUCAGGAAACUGGGGCUAAUACCGGAUAGGAGCUCCUGCUGCAUGGUGGGGGUUGGAAAGUUUCGGCGGUUGGGGAUGGACUCGCGGCUUAUCAGCUUGUUGGUGGGGUAGUGGCUUACCAAGGCUUUGACGGGUAGCCGGCCUGAGAGGGUGACCGGCCACAUUGGGACUGAGAUACGGCCCAGACUCCUACGGGAGGCAGCAGUGGGGAAUAUUGCACAAUGGGUGGAAGCCUGAUGCAGCAACGCCGCGUGCGGGAUGACGGCCUUCGGGUUGUAAACCGCUUUCGCCUGUGACGAAGCGUGAGUGACGGUAAUGGGUAAAGAAGCACCAGCUAACUACGUG